rnacentral:rRNA from 1 species
CCUACGGGAGCAGCAGUGGGGAAUAUUGGACAAUGGGCGAAAGCCUGAUCCAGCCAUGCCGCGUGUGUGAAGAAGGCCUUCGGGUUGUAAAGCACUUUCAGUGGGGAAGAAAGCCUUGGGGCUAAUACCCUCGAGGAAGGACAUCACCCACAGAAGAAGCACCGGCUAACUCCGUGCCAGCAGCCGCGGUAAUACGGAGGGUGCGAGCGUUAAUCGGAAUUACUGGGCGUAAAGCGCGCGUAGGCGGUCUGAUAAGCCGGUUGUGAAAGCCCCGGGCUCAACCUGGGAACGGCAUCCGGAACUGUCAGGCUAGAGUGCAGGAGAGGAAGGUAGAAUUCCCGGUGUAGCGGUGAAAUGCGUAGAGAUCGGGAGGAAUACCAGUGGCGAAGGCGGCCUUCUGGACUGACACUGACGCUGAGGUGCGAAAGCGUGGGUAGCAAACAGGAUUAGAUACCCUUGUAGUC